UACGUAGGGUGCGAGCGUUGUCCGGAAUUAUUGGGCGUAAAGAGCUUGUAGGCGGUUUGUCGCGUCUGCUGUGAAAAUCCGGGGCUCAACCCCGGACUUGCAGUGGGUACGGGCAGACUAGAGUGUGGUAGGGGAGACUGGAAUUCCUGGUGUAGCGGUGGAAUGCGCAGAUAUCAGGAGGAACACCGAUGGCGAAGGCAGGGCUCUGGGCCGCUACUGACGCUGAGAAGCGAAAGCAUGGGGAGCGAACAGG
rnacentral:rRNA from 1 species